GACGUAGGGCGCGAGCGUUGUCCGGAUUUAUUGGGCGUAAAGAGCUCGUAGGCGGCUUGUCGCGUCGUCCGUGAAAACCUGGGGCUCAACCCCAGGCUUGCGGUCGAUACGGGCAGGCUAGAGUUCGGUAGGGGAGACUGGAAUUCCUGGUGUAGCGGUGGAAUGCGCAGAUAUCAGGAGGAACACCGAUGGCGAAGGCAGGUCUCUGGGCCAUUACUGACACUGAGAAGCGAAAGCAUGGGGAGCGAACAGG
rnacentral:rRNA from 1 species